rnacentral:lncRNA from 1 species
CCAAAUCUGAGUUCUUAACUCACAAAUCAUCUGACCAAGAAAGGUGCAUCUAUUCCUAUCUUGGUCCACAUGGAGCACAUGCGAUGGGCGGACAGAUAUGGGCCAUGUUGCCAUUUGUCUGCACCUGUCCACAGAGGGAGUCACAGCAAAUGAGAGACAGUUGUACUCGGAGCUGGGAUUAUAAAAAUGUGUUACUGUUCAGUCUUGCUCUUACAGUAGCAAGGAGUAGAAAAGAGUCUCAAGGGCUGGAACUUUAAACAUUAUAGGUCAAACCCCUCAUUUCCCAGAUGGCGAACUAUUGCUUUAGAGGCAGAAAGCAGCUUAGGUGAAGUCAAAGAGGAAAUAUUCGUGGUCUCACUGGAGUUAGAACCAAAGCCUCCUGACCCAGUCUAGCGGUCUUUUACACCUUUGUGUUACUGCAGAGUUUCCCUGAACCUUGGAUUGCAAAAACACCAUUUGGGCACGGUUCCUCAUCGCGUGGUUUUAAGGGUCAGCCCUGUUCUCUCGUGUCAGUACUUAAAAGUUCUUUUUCUGAAGCCUCUAUACAGUUAGCCCAAACCAUACGAAUUUGACACAAUUAUGUGUCAAAAGGAUUGAAUAGAAUGGAUGUAUUGUGAUUCUAGCUGAUAGGUGUUCAUUUAGAAAGUAGCAACGAGCAUAGUCAGCCUUAAAUUUAGUAAAUCAAAAAAAUCAUGUUCUUUACUUGGAUGACUUCUUUAUCCAAAUGUGCCCCCAAACCUGUGUGGAUACUUCAGUCUUCUCUUGUCACCCAGAAAGAAACACGGAGCAGCCUGAGAAGAAUAGAGGAGGACACCAUAACGAAGGCUUUCCCAAGGCUACCAGUGAGAUGAGCUGUUAAUGCCUCUGGGUUCUUGGCAAUUAAACUUUAAGAUAUGCCUUAAUGCCACCAUCAGUCCCACCAAAACCAGGUCAAACUUCCUUCUGCUACAUUCUCAUACUACCCCAUAGCCCUGUUUUGGAGCAUUACACUUUUUUUAUUUACUUGUAAGAUGAUUUGCCUAAUUUCUUUCAACUCUGGGAGGGCAGGAACCUGACUGGUGUUGCUUACACUGCAUCUCCAGUACUUAGCACCAUAACCAGCACACAGCAAAUGCUCAUCAAAUACAUGUUGAACAAAUGAAUGAGCAAAAAUUAAAAUGCAAUGUUUGUUUUAUUCCUAUCCUCACGACCCAGCAACCUAAUGUCAAGAUUUUUUAUUUAAAUUUAAAUCUCACGGUGGAAAUCUGUAGAAAAAUCCAUUUUAUCACUGUAAUGGGCUGGACUGUCCCAUGACCAGCCAAUGACCUAUACCAGGUAUCAAUAUACUCAGAAGGUGGCCCUGGCAAGGACUCUCCUUGAAAUUUCAUUGUAUGGCCAUGAGGCUAAUAUGUAGAUUAACGUAAUUGGGCCUUAAGUUUUGGGAUCUUUAAGAUCUACCAGCCAGACAUCACUAUAAACACUUGUUCCUCUUCCUUUCUGUUGGGGUGAACAUUCUGGCAAUUCCACUCCUGCCCCUCUGCUGCCCUGGCUGGCACAGAUGCACACGCAGUAGGUCAAAGGUAGGCCCAGUGGUAAAUCCAGCCAUGUGAACAUGGGCUGGUAAAGCCAUUUCGGAAAUGGAAGGUCCAGUCCCCCUUAGUUCAUUAGGAUAAGAGCUAGGACCAACUGGAACACAGUAGAAGAUGCUCUAGAAUAGAUUUGGGAUGGGAGGGGGGUCUUAGGAAAGUGUCAUGGUAGAGAAUGAGGCUUUUAGUGUUUGUUCUAUUUGCCUAAGCUAAGGCAUAGAAAGAUGGGACGCCUGGGUGGCUCAGUGGUUGAGCGUCUGCCUUUGGCUCAGGGCUUGAUCCCAAGACCCUGGGAUCGAGUCCCACAUCGGGCUCCUUGCAUGGAGCCUGCUUCUCCCUCUGCCUAUGUUUCUGCCUCUUGUGUCUCUCAUGAAUAAAUAAAUAAAAUCUUAAAAAAAAAAAGAAAGAAAGAAAGAGAGAAAGAAUGGUCCUUCCCCAGUUGGAAUAAGGACUGUGUGAUUUGGAACCCUAACUGCUCUUAAUUGCCUGGCAAUCUUCUGGACAAGAUCAUUAUCUGCAGACUGGGCAGACUGGAAGGUAGAGCCUUCUCCACUGACAUCUCAGAUGAUCCUCUCUGCUUAUGGAACAUGAGAAAGUCAGGUCCUGGGAAAUAGCUGAGACAGAUUGCUUGUUUGAGAAACCAACUCAUCAAACAGGACCUAAUUGGUCUAAGUUCGAGCUGAAGUUGACAACCAGAAAUCCCUGUGUCUGUUCUUACACACCGAAUUUCUCUGAGUGUUCCCAGAAAAGGGGCUUAUCUUUAACCCUCCGACAUCAGGCUUUCAUUUUCCAGUCUUCCCCAAGUGCAGCCAUCUCCCUUUUGGGAUCUGUGUUUGUCAGUGCUUUCUAUGCUGGCCCUACUGUUUCUUUUGACAGUUCUGUCCCAAUACCCUGCCUCCAAGGUCCAAGCAAGGGCAAGAGAAAAAUAUUUUGCGGCCUUCUACCUUGGAGUGAGUCUCAUGCUUGAUUUAUUCUUGUUCUACACUGGCUGUGUGAGACAGAGUCCAGUUCAGCCCUAAGUUCUGAGUUGUGAGAACCUGGAUAUAUACUUUGCUUCGAUUUCCAGCUGUGUGACUGACCACAUCCUCUAAGCUAUAAGGUUGAGGCAUCUGAGCGCUGAAUGGUGGCCUUAAAUUAUUAUCACAAAUGUCCCCUGUAUUGCCCCCUCUUCCUACAUCUUAUCAGAGGGGUGUGUAGUGGAGGACUGUUGGUCUGAGAUACAGUCAGAUGCUAGAACUUCUUAUGAAGAGCCUGUUGGAUUUUAAAGUUUAAGGACUUCAGGCAAAUUUUUUAGAAUACACUGAUUCUCCUUUUUGCCAAAUUCAAAGGUGUCAAAAAAAACCAACCCCAAAA